AGAUGAUUCUAAAGCCCAGCUAAGUUGAGACACUAAACGUUGGGCGUGGGUACAAGCAAUGCUGCCAUCAAUUCAAUUGUGGACUGGGCCAAGUCUUUGUGCUCAGCAAAGACCUUUUCACCAGGGGCAUGAAUAGAGAAAACCCAGUGGCUGGACUGAGGAGAGGCAUGAGACGGAAGCCAUGGCAGAUGGAAGCUCGACAUCGCUUGGAUCAGAUGCUCAAGUGACAGGGGAAGAGAGCUACCACCUUCAACUUUCCACAAGCUCUUGCUCGCAGUGCCCAGUCAGGGCUGAGAUGUUUACUUAAGGGGAAAGCACUCGCUCCUUCCCUUGAAGCAUGACAUAAGCAUGACAUAAGCAUGACAUAAGCUGUUCUUGAAUAUGGUUUGUCAGGUCGAGUAAGCUCACCUCCAGUCCUUAUCCCCUGGAGAGUUCCUCAUGUAAGGUGCAAAAGAUGCUGAGUCCCCAGGAUGCUGGGAGCCCAGUGAGUGCCUUCUGCAGCUCAGAGAGAACUCUUGCAGAAGAAACAUCUGUUUUCUACUUCAAUUGUCUGUUUGCUGUGUUACAAAAAUUGAACCCAGGACCUCAAGGAUGCUAGGCGAGAGUUCUGCCACUAUGCUAUGUCCCUGGGUCUCCCCCAUGGGACAUGUUUAGCUAUUUAGAAUGCUUCAAGGCCCAUGGAGACAGCCUGGGCUAGCUCUUGCACAGCUCCCAUCUGAGUGGUAACUUGCUUUUGUUAAGAUUCAGAAAUAAACCCCACGGGGAAUUUUUCUCCUAUUCUCAAUGCAAUCUCCAUGAUGGCCCAGAGUCAAAGCUCUGUAUCCUCCAUGAGAAAUGAUUGUAGUUUUGUUGGGAUGACCUCUAGCCCUGUGGUCUGCUACAAAACCGUGCAGAAUCCAGAAAGGGUGCUGAUGUGAGAGUAAAUGGCUAGAGGAGACAUCUGUAUUGCUGAGGCAAGAUAGCCUGCCCUGUGUGUCUGUAGGUAGAAGCCUCCUUCUACCAAGCCCUCUAGGCUCCCACACCCAUGUCCUUGAACUUGCUGGCCUGCUCUUCUUGAGCCUUGGGCGAUUUAUGCAAACCAACUCUUGGGUAUUAUUUCUAGUACUCAGAAGUGUGCUUCAUAUGUCCCUGGUGUCCUGUGACUCUGGCCAACAAAAGCAGGUGGCCUCUUUCUCUAGAAGUCCCCCCCCCCCCAGGACUCAGAUUUACCCAACAAUUAGAAUCCUCCAUUCUUCCUGCCAAUGCCUAAACAAUGUCUGUGCGGUGAAGCACUCUCAAUUAACAGUCUGUGAUAUGAGUGGAAGUGAAUUCUCCAGGAUAAUUGUGAUUUCAUCCUUUACUCGUUGAUUUUCUUGAAACAGGGUCUUGCUGUAUAGCCCAAGCUGGCCUUGAACUCAGGUUUCUCCUGCAUCCAAUUAUAAAAACAUCAAAUCCCCGUGUUAAUAAACUCCCAGACCUACUGUGUGUUAGUGACUGACAUUGAAGUCAAAAUGAGAGCUUUAUCAAAAAAGAUGUUGUGGGAAGAUUUUCAGCGUAUUGAACUAUGUAUUAGCCAUGAGCAAUGCCUGCACAUACUAGCCUUGUACAAUGCCUGUACAUAGUCAUGUAUGAUGCCUCUAAUCUCACUCUGAGAAGCUGAGACAGGAGGAUUAUGAAUGAUACCCUGUCUUCAAUAACAACCAGAAAAAGAAAAAAAAAGGAAGUGAUCAUGCAACUCUUACUAAAUAUGUUGAAUACUAAUCUCUAAGAAGCAGCUGUGGACCUUGCACGAGUGACAUCUGAUACAGCUAGAGGGAGGGGCCUCCCUGAGGUAAUACAGUGUCUGGUGUGUGUGGUCUACAAGUAGUAAAUAUGAAGAAA